ACUUGCAUGGUGUAGUGGUAACAAUGCUGGAUAAUAAUAUUAUCUAGUGGUCACCAGUUCAAUUCUAGUUUUGGGCA